GGCGCUGUGGCGGGCGGGCGGCGGAAGAGCGGCCGCUCCCUGCGCGGGCGGGCGGCGCCGUUUCCCUGCCGGCAUGGCGGGGGGGUUUCUGCUGGAGAUCAGGCGGGGGACGCAGAGCGCGUUGCUGGUUAUCCGCGAGGCGGAACGGCCCAGCUCGCCGGUGGACGUUUCGGUGGCCGCGGAACGGCUGGAAGUGAGAAGUGGCGGGAGCUGCGAGGCGGCGGCGCUGCCGGCAGGGGUCAGGCUGGCCCCGUCCUCCUGCCGCGGCCUGCAGCGGCUCCCCGGCGGCGGCCUGCACCUGCGCACGGGCCUGCGCCGCCCGCCGCCCCGCGCCGAUGUCGUUUUUACUUUGAGGGAAAGCUUGAAACCCCAGAAGAAUUAUGUCUUUUACUGUCAGUCCUGUGGUGACAUCAUAGUAAAAGACCGGAAAUUUCUCAGAGUUCUUCCUCUACCAAGUGAAAAUUGGAGUGCUUUAAUUGAAGAGUGGUGUUGUCACCCUAACCCCUUUGCCAGAAGCACUUUGCACCCUCAGCAUGAUGACUGUUUUCUUGGAGACACUUUUUUUCUGUUGAAUUCAGGAAAGGAAUCACAUGUGUCUGAAUCUCCCAUGUGCUGCUCAGUGGGUGGACACCAUGCUUCUCAGAGUGGUUCCAACUUGAAAUCAAAGGAAAAUACCAGAGUAAUUUGUAAGCGCUGCAAGACAAUGGUGGGAGAAACAGUAUCAUCAGAUACCGUUAAAUAUUAUGUCACUGAGGUGAUUAUUCGACCAUCUGAGGGAAGUUUCACCCCAACACCAAGGUCUCAAUUCAUACAGAGCAUGGUUGCUCAGUGUCUUGUGGAAUUGUCCUCUGCUAAAAGCACGUUUAGAUUUGCUGUAAAAGGGGACAACGGAAAAAGCUAUAUUCUGAUGUGGCUUUUAAAUUCUGACACAUUGCUAGUGGAGUCUUCAGGAAGUUCCUCUUCCCACAGUGUUUUUACACUGUUUGGAGAUAUUUUCAUGCCUAGCUCUGGACCAGUGGGGACCUGGAAUGCUGUCAAAGUCCUUUACCAGCCAUGCAUUAAAAGCAGGAAUAAGGACCUUGCUGAUGCAUGGGAAGAUGAUAUUGGAGUUCAUCCUUUAAAGUUUCCAUCAGAAACAUGUUUGGAAUUACUGUUGAUACUGAGUUUGAGCACCAGCUCUCUGCCACCUUCGCUUCGAUGCAUGAACUCUUUUCAGCACUUUAAAACCACUUGAUGCAGAAAAAUAUGUGCUGCUCGGAUUGCCUGAUUAGUGUGAAGUUCAUCAUGGUAAUUACUACAGUAAAACCCAAACAUCAUCUGGUGUUAAGAAAAUCCUAAAUUCCAUGGGUUUUGCAGCCUCGUUUGCUUUGGAUCAGUAAUUGCAAUGCAACAUGAGUACCAAGUUUCGUCCCCCACUGUGGUCUGCAUUCAAGAGAGAAACUGUAUUAAGACUAACAAAGGUUGCCUUUUUGAAGAUGUGAAGAAUGCGGAUACCUGCGUUGAAGACUAUUCUGAAAUUCAUCUUCAGCAGAAACAUUGAGAUGACUUCCAAUGACGUGACUUCUAGGAAAAAAAUCCACUGUCAAUACGAAACAGAAUGUGUUACUCUUCAUAUCUGGACGUGUUUCAAAGCCAAAGACAGAGAGAAUUAACUUUUGCAUCCAGUACGUUCUUAGAUGUCAUUCUAAGAGUGACUUACCUGUCACUCCUGUCACAUCCAGCUGGAAUGACUGUUACGAUCUCUUGAUUGCUAAAAAGAAAUUAUCUAUGUAUCUUAGUACUACCUGUAUCAGACAGUGUUUGAUAGUGGCCUAUAUGUCAGUAGGAAAAUUCACAGCUGGUAGGAGAGAAAGGUUUUAAAAUAUUUAACGUCCUGGAUGCUAACAUAAGGUCUUUACUUUCUUUGCUCUGGUAAAGUUAGAGGUCCAACUUUAAAAUGUAAAUUCUAGUUUCUGUCAAAUAUAUAUGUUUAUCAUGUAUAUUGUUUCCACAUUAAGGUUUAUCUUCCUUCUUGGGAGAGAGGGAAGACAGUUCAUGUAUUCCUAUACCUCAUUUGAAUUUUUAAAAAUUGGUAAUGUUUUAGAAAAUCAAGGUUUUAUGCUUACUUGGAAUAAUUAUUCCUUCAAAUUCAAAAAAGAACAUGUGUGUGAAGGCUGGCCUUGCAGAAACUGCUGGAGGUGAAAGAUACUUGUAGCAAGUCAAUACAGCUACUCUGAAUCAUCAUUGUCUGUUGUGGAUGCUCAGUUGCCUUCCAUGGGAAUGACAGCACAUUUCCAUGGAAUACAAAAGUUGCUAACAUUUUUGGCUUUGGAGUGGAUUGCUCACUUAGUUAUCAGCAAUUUUUGCCUUCCCUUGUCCAGGAGAACAGGAUGGUAUACAUGCAUAGGCUAAGGAACAGGUAAGAUGUCUCCUGGCAUUUUUUUUUCAGUUCCUGCUCAUUGGAAUUGACUGCUUUUGAGCUAGAAGGAAGUGAUCCUUUAGUAUCAACCAUCUCUUUUGGACCCCUGAUCCCUCCAGGUUCUUAUCCCAUAUCUGCCUCCAUUAUCUGCAGUUUUCCUCAAACUUGCUCUUGGCAAAUCAGUCAGGUACUGGAAUGGUUCGGCUGACCUAGCGUGACAAUUCUUGAGUUCUCAAAAUGGGUAUAAAAAGGUAUUCAAACAGAAAAAAAAACCCCAAACCAACAAAUAAACAAACAAAAAAGACAAGAGAGCCUGUUUAUGUAGGCUGGCUUUUUUCAAAGCCCCUCUUAAAAAAAAAAAAAAGAUCCUACUUUGUUGGAAAACUAUUUUUAGGAGGAUGGGACUCUGGAGGGAAUAUUACUGUUAGAUGAGUUCUCUGAAAGUUCCUGGGUUUCAAGCAAAGUUAACAUGUCCUUUACUCAUGAAAUGAUCAUAAUGUAGGACUUGACCCUGCGAAGUGUUGGGCACCUUAUCUGGGUUUUACACAUCCAAAGACAAGGAGCUGAGGCCUCCUAGCUCCCAGUCUGGUUAUCAUCGUAUUUUUCUGUUAUUAUUGUAGUUUUCAGUAUUGAAGGAAGAACAAAAGUAUUCGGAGUUUUGUAUUCAGGGACGAAAUUAUCUAGCUUUAAGGUAUUUUGUCUAUGCACCAAUGUUUACUCAUUUUAUGAACAAAAUAUAUUUUUUAAAUCAG